rnacentral:rRNA from 1 species
AUUGAACGCUGGCGGCAGGCCUAACACAUGCAAGUCGAACGGUAACAGGAAGCAGCUUGCUGCUUCGCUGACGAGUGGCGGACGGGUGAGUAAUGUCUGGGAAGCUGCCUGAUGGAGGGGGAUAACUACUGGAAACGGUAGCUAAUACCGCAUAAUGUCGCAAGACCAAAGAGGGGGACCUUCGGGCCUCUUGCCAUCGGAUGUGCCCAGAUGGGAUUAGCUUGUUGGUGGGGUAACGGCUCACCAAGGCGACGAUCCCUAGCUGGUCUGAGAGGAUGACCCGCCACACUGGAACUGAGACACGGUCCAGACUCCUACGGGAGGCAGCAGUGGGGAAUAUUGCACAAUGGGCGCAAGCCUGAUGCAGCCAUGCCGCGUGUAUGAAGAAGGCCUUCGGGUUGUAAAGUACUUUCAGCGGGGAGGAAGGGAGUAAAGUUAAUACCUUUGCUCAUUGACGUUACCCGCAGAAGAAGCACCGGCUAACUCCGUG